GUCCACGCCGUAAACGAUGUCGACUAGCCGUUGGAGACCUUAGUGUUUUUAGUGGCGAAGCUAACGCGAUAAGUCGACCGCCUGGGGAGUACGGCCGCAAGGUUAAAACUCAAAUGAAUUGACGGGGGCCCGCACAAGCGGUGGAGCAUGUGGUUUAAUUCGAUGCAACGCGAAGAACCUUACCAGGUCUUGACAUCCAGAGAACUUUCCAGAGAUGGAUUGGUGCCGCAAGGAGCUCUGAGACAGGUGCUGCAUGGCUGUCGU
rnacentral:rRNA from 1 species